rnacentral:pre_miRNA from 1 species
ACAGAAAUCACCUGGGGUCUUGCUAAAAUGCAGAUUCUGAUUCAGGAGGGCUGAGGUUGGGCCUGAGACUCUGCAUUUCUAACAAACUCCCAGGGGAUGAUGAU